AGUUUGAGUAGGAAAAUUGAUAUGAAUAAGAUGUUAAUAAAAUAAACUCUUGUUUAAUAUGUUGUGCUCUAUUUUCAUAAGCUAGCGUGGUCGAACCUGUCGUAAAACUGUGUCGUAAAGUUUUCCAGCGACUUACUUUUCCGCCUAUUUGUCCGAUAAAUCCCGUUUCUACGUUCUCCUUAUUGGAUACUCUUGGUGUCUGGCUUAUGAGUAUGAAGUACUAGCCAAUCACGGAGCGAGGGGCGGGGUUUCUGGAUGUGGGUGGGAGACAGAUAGAAAUUCUUAGGCUGAACUUCUUCCGGUCUCUUUCUUUCUGUUCGCUUUGCCUAGCUGACAUGGACAAGAACAUGGCGCCUUUAACUGGGUAAAUAUAUUCGUUUUGGCAUUUAAUUCACUAUUUUUUUUAACGUUGUACGCUCUGUUUAGACACCAUGCCUAAUUAAGAGCAGUUUUAACCACAUAUGUAAGACUCCACGUUGACUUUUCGUGUAUAAGCCGCCACGUGCUGAAGCCAAGCAGCUUGGAGGGUAAAUUUAAUUAAGUUGGAAUGUAAUUUGUAGGAAAUCUUUUCAAUCGUAUCAUCCUAUCUUUUCUUGAGCAACGAGCACAGUUUCUCAACACGAGCUGUGAGUUUAGCUAAGCUAGUCAGGCGGUGCCAUGCUGCACGGGCUGGCGCACGCGCUGCAGCUCUUCUUCUCUAUGAAAGCCAUGUGAAAUCGUCCACAAACUGGAAUUUCUUCCUCUGUCAUGGAUCAGUUCCACUGAUUGCAUGGCUACAUAAUGUCCAGGUUUGCUUUCAUCUCUGCACCAUUGAUUGCUGAGGUGACAAUGAGGCCUGGGACAUCUUUAACACUAUCCUACUCCUAACAUCACUAACGCAUCACGUGCAUGUAUUUACACUUCUUUUUGUUGUUGUUCCCCUUUUCAGGAUGCCUGGGUGUUUAUGUUUUCCUGCAUCACUGGUGCAUCCAGAGCUUCCAAAAGUAAUGGCAAGUAAUUCAUUUCUCCUAACUAUGGAUGUGCACAGUCCUAGUUACGGCCUAGUGAUGGUGGGCUUAGUGAUGAACUAGUACAGUGCAAAGAGUACAACUCUGUUCUCAGCAACUCACUGCUGUGCUCAAAUCAUAGCAGUGCUACUUAUGGGAAUGGACAUUUUUAUAAAAAUAUUUAUUUAUUUAUUUAUUUUGCUUAUUACAACCUGGAUCAAUUCAAACCCAUAGUAACCUUUUGGUUGUCUUCUUCAGGUCAUGGAUAGCCAUCCUGGCCAAACUUGAGCUCUGCCGACGCGACCUGGGUUGCGACCUUCAUGAAGAUGUUGGUGCAGCAUACAAGUAAGCAAGCUGUAGUUUUUCCCCUUUACCACAAAUUUCCUGAGGUCUAUCCCGACUGGCCCCUCACAGUAGAGUCGUGUCGUUGGAAAUGCCUCAAAGACGAACUCUGUGGUAUAGCUUUACCCAUCGUGUUACUCCCGUUAACUCUGUGGGCAAAUGCUGCAGGACAAAACGUUUGCACUGUGCACUUCUGACUUCAGGACAAAUCCAAAGGGAAUCAAUUUUAUCCGCGUUAACCUUUCCGAUUUAUUUUUAUUUGCUCAUAUUAACGUUUUCUUCUCAUUGAUUAUUCGUGUCCAGGGGCUGCACGCCUCCUCAGUUAAUAUUCGUCAGUGCAUUAUCACUGACAGUGAACGUUUCCAUAUGGUUUAUAAAAAGGUGUAGACCUAAUGGAUUGUUUUAGAUUCUUGGCAGGUAAGGAACCAUUUUAGAUAAAGGUUUCAACCGUUCAAAUGGACUGUUCCAUUUGGAUUUGUGAAAUAUUGGGAACAUUUAAUGUUUAAGAAAGUGAGUUGUAACACUCUGUGUGCUGUUCUUGUUGCAGCUCUGGUGUCCAGACGAGGGCGCACUUGUCCCACAGCUGGUGAGUGUUGAGCCUGAAUUUCAUGACAAGUUGGUUGAAGGUUGUUUUGAUUUUACAUUUUUCCAGCACUGUGUGGUAUCUGCAUCCAGUCGUAUAUAUCUAACUGGAUUGUUCAAAUGGCAGUGCAAGAGCAACUCGAACACCUUCCGCCAUGGACCUUAUAGCCUUCGUGCGUUGGGUCCAAGGUGGUGACGAGACAUGCCAUGGCUUUAAAAAAAAAAACUCUCCUAGAGUAUUUCUUUUGAUCGCGUGCUUAAAUUGACUUUCUGUUUUGUAGGAACGUCCGUCCUGAGAGACCCUUGCGUUAACGAUGUGGUGCUGUUUAAUGAUUGGUAUGUAUACAUGUCCGUUUAUCCAUCCAGGUUCACACCUACUUCCUGUGUCACUUCAGUAAGCACUUUUUACGGCACUGCUCAAGCAUUUCCCCACAGUCCUAAAUAUUAGAGGAAAUCUUGGGUAUUGCAUAUGUGUGAACUAUUGCGAGGUGUUUGCUGCGUUGUGCUGAUGGGAUUCAAAGCUGGCUGGUUGUUGGAUCACUUCAUGUUUUAAAAGAAAUUCAUAAUUUAAUUUGGCAUGGUAGAAGAGAACCAACAAAUAUAAAACAAUGGAUAGAAAUUGUAAGGGAACAUGUGUUGGUAAAAAAUGACUUCCUGUCUAUGGUUGAAGGAAAGUGGUGUUUGUUUUUUUUAAUUAAAUGGAGGGGUAUGAUUAUAUAACAAUACAUAUGGGUGAAGGACAUGCAAAUACAAGGAUUUUUUCGUGUAAUGCUCCAUUAUAACCUUAGACAAUCUUGUUCUCUCCCUGCCUAGUUUGAUUGUGAUGUGUUGUCUCGUUAUAUAUGCAUGCACGCACCUGUGAUGGUUAACUAGAAGCAUGUAUGACCAUGACUCAUUUUAGGUUGGUGAGGAAAAUCCAGCAAUUAUCAGUUUUAUAGUUUUAUUUCAGUAUUUGUUUUUUCAGUGAGCUUUCUGACAAACGUGGAUUUCUUGAUUUUGAUUUCUCAGUGAGAAUCAUCAAUCAGCCAAUUUUAUUGGUGGAAACCAUAAUCCACUUUUUCCCAAAGUUUCCCUCUUUGGUGUGAAUAAAUACUGCACCCAAAUAUUACCAAACACGGUCAGCACUGUUUCAAAUGCCUUAAAUGUUUCUGCAUUAUUUAACAUGAACAAACUAUUAACCCUAAGCAGUAGUUGACAAUCAGUAAAAUUCUGCCAAACAAAGCAAGUUUGCCAAGGACCAAUUCAUUAAGCAGUGUUUAUUCCAUGAGAGAGAAUCGGGCGUGGGCGUUCCAUAACGUUUGUGCUGGCUGAUUUGGUGCCUGCCAAUGCCGUCACCCAAAGCCCUAGUUUCAGUACUGACGUUUUUAGUGUUGUGCUGAAAUGCAGUGCCGUUUGUGAAACCCUCGCUUGUUUUGUCGCCGUUAUUUUUUGCGGCUGCUGUGUUUCACAUGCCCGGUUUGAGGCCGUGCCGUCAGGCUUUAGCCAGCGAGCGCGCGCACACGAGCACUUGUGGUAUUUUCACAUGAAUUCAGCCACAGCUCUAACCCCCGAGCCUUGACCUGCACUAGUCAGCGUCUAGAAAGAUUUGUUGAGCUGAAAAAAACUGUAAUCAUUAAUUUAACCUGUUUGCAGGUCCAUCCUGAGACUGCACUGAGAUUCAGGAAUCCAAGUCAGGUUUUGAAGUGGGCACAUUGUCGUGGCCGUGGGCUUCUCCGAAACGAACGGUGAGACUCUCUAAGCAGCAGACGGGAUCACAUUUCAAAGGGGGUCAGCCACGUAUCACCACUGGCGAUCCUUAACGCCGUGAUCCCACAUCAGCGCCCUGAGAGAUACCGUGCAGGUUUCUUUUGGAUUGACGAGAUGCCUGCUGUCUGAAGGGCAACAUUUCAAUCUUUUGCAACAUAACGUCUCCGAUACUGAAAAGCAUUUGCAGGCUUUCAGGGACUGCAGUUGUUUACUUUGCACCUCAUUGGUUGGUCAUGUGAUGGACAGUAGUAUCGCUCGGGGGAAGUUCAUGACCGUAGUCCUGCUGUACAGCCGCAAUAAGCAUUCAUUAGCUUUAUAAGAACGCAGUGACGUCUAUAUACGUAAAAUAAUGGGCACAAAGGAUGACAUAAACGCUUUAUUGCGAUGUACAGGACUAAUUUGUAACUUUAGUGCUCGUGUUAUUCCCGUUUAUGAUAUCCUCUGACCUUGGGUUUUUGUUUUUUUGUUUUCUUCCUAGUUCAACAGAUGAACCAGGAAGUCUGCUGAUGAACAAAAGGAUGUCUGCGUGGCUCUCUGUAAUGUUUCCAAUAAAAGUAUUUGAGAUCUGAUGUGUAGGUUUGAAAUGUUUUGUUUUAUCUAAAAACGAAAGCUUGUUUUUAUCCCAUUGUAUUUGUCUCUGUGGUUAACAUGUACAGUACUAACUUCCUUUUAUACCAGAGGAACUACUUGGGUUUUUUUUUUUUUUUUCUGUCUCAUGUUGUCACGUGUUUUUGUUCUUGGGUCGUGUGGGCUUUCUGGCGUCUUGCACAACACGUCCUUCUGGGAAUAUCGUAACGCCAUCAUGCCUGCUUUCAGCAGUUCGUAAUGGGUUUGGUUGUGUUGUAAGAGGUUAGACACGGACAUGUGACAUCUCGCUGUUUAUUGAGAUGUACCCCUACGACGCGGCUUACCCGUCUACCGCCAUUUUGAACUUGUUUAAGGUAAACGAUGAUAUCCGGUAUGAUGAACGAUGACAUGGUGUGAUUGAAACAGGAGGCUGCAUCCUUGUAGGUGUUUAUUGAAAGCGUCAUGGCACAUAAACGCAGAGCCGUUCGUGCGUCACCCGGAUGAUCACAGGAAUACAGAGAGCACUUAAGCAGCAUUAAGACGGGAGACUUUCUGCCAAGCAGAGACUCUGCUCUUGGCGUUUCCCACGGGUCAUGGGAUGCAGAUUAAAGGAUUCUCUUCAGAGAGCACAGCUUUCAGCUCUCCCUUCUUCCCCCCCGUUUGUUUGGCUGAAAGUGCUGCUGUUUGAGAUGUUCCAGUCAGUUUUAUUUUAUACUGAAUCAAAUGUGCUGAGAAAUGGAAAAGGAGGUAGAACAGGCAUCAUGGCUUAUGGCCUGAUGUAGUUUAGCUAUGAUUUAAACUGAUGGUAACGAGUGUAUUUGUGAAGCCUACUUAAUGACACUGAGUUGUUUUUUUUGGCUUUUAUUGUUGAAAGCUGAGGCUCAUGUUAUUAAAAGUUGGUAUGAGCCUAAUUGCUCCCUUGAGUGUGCUCAGUCACAUGAAUUUGUUUCUUAUAGGAUGUUCAUAGGAAACUAUCAAAUCUACGUUUGUAACUGGUUAUGUGGGUCCAAAGUUCAGGAAUAAGAAACUCGAUGCUUCAAUACAUGUGCUGGUAAAUAAUUGGUUUUUGACUCUGUUCUAUGGUCGAUAAGGCAUAUGGGGACUUUUUCUAUCCUCACUGCCAUCCCCCCCCCCCCCCCCCCUUGCAAUUUUUGGUCUCACAAACUGAAGGUGCAACCUCAAACAAUAAAAUAAAAACAAUAAACGCUGAAGCACUGUCCUUGGCUCAUGUUUUCGCACUUGGGUUCUUGCAGUCUGCUGAUUUGUGUUCCCUCUGGUUCCGGAUAUGGGGGUUCAGGAAAUGUAUGUAAUGACUGAGCUUUCUGCUCAUUAGGCGAAGGAACAUGUCUGGAUCCCACCGAGGCCCGAUCUUUGAAGCGCACCCGAUCAAUAAGAAGGGUUUUAAAAUGAUAUUGCAUACUAGACUAAUGAUUAAGCUUUGCUUUAGCUCAGUUAUUCGAUGGUAAUAAUAGUGUUGUUCAAUAUUCUCCACGUUUAUGGAGACUAACAAAUGACAGGUUGCUUAGUCUUCCAGGCUUGUCUCUGUUCUUUAAAAAGCAUUGAGGUGUGAAUUUUCUAAACUGGGCAAAAUACACCCCCCCCCCCCCACACACACUUUCUUCACCAGCCUGUUCUCAGUACUCAAAUAUCAUUAUCAAAGUGACGAGCCUAUUCCUCUAAUCUAUUUUUGGCUCCUCUGAAUAAAUUCAAGGUACAACAUGCCAAGCACAUGAGCCUAAGUAGCAUCAGCUACUUGAUGGUCAUUACGUAACAUCAGCUAAUGUGAAGGCCUGAGAUCUCAUCAGCCAAUACGAUAAUGAAGUUUCAAGCAGAACGGACAGCUGUCCUUUGGACCCAUGUGUGAUUGAGCUUGUUUGGGAGAUCAAAUUGGCCUCAGGAUCUUAUCAGUGCUGUACACAAAGAAGGCCUGUGUUUAUGACCCUGUGGGGCAAAAAAAAAGCCUGAUUACCAGCCUGACAUGACUUGUGAAUUAUUAAACUGCUGCCUACCUUUUAAAUACAGUAACAUGAUGGUCAAACUGAAUACUGUAGGGAAUUAAGUCAGUAAUGUUGGAUGCCAUUAUGCCUUGUUCGUGUAUGGGUUGUUUUUUUUUUUUCUCCCCCAUAAAGUAAUACUCAGAAGUGUUUCAUUUCAAAUCAUUGAUGAUGUUUUCAAAAAGUG
ensembl:lncRNA